rnacentral:rRNA from 1 species
GCUNGAAAGCGUGGGUAGCAAACAGGAUUAGAUACCNUGGUAGUCCACGCCCUAAACGAUGUCAAUUAGCUGUUGGGCAACUUGAUUGUUCAGUAGCGUAGCUAACGCGUGAAAUUGNCCGCCUGGGGAGUACGGUCGCAAGAUUAAAACUCAAAGGAAUUGACGGGGANCCGCACAAGCGGUGGAUGAUGUGGAUUAAUUCGAUGCAACGCGAAGAACCUUACCUGGUCUUGACAUGUACGGAAUCCUCCAGAGACGGAGGAGUGCCUUCGGGAGCCGUAACACAGGUGNUGCAUGGCUGUCGUCAGCUCGUGUCGUGAGAUGUUGGGUUAAGUCCCGCAACGAGCGCAACCCUUGUCAUUAGUUGCCAUCAUUCAGUUGGGCACUCUAAUGAGACUGCCGGUGACAAGCCGGAGGAAGGUGGGGAUGACGUCAAGUCCUCAUGGCCCUUAUGACCAGGGCUUCACACGUCAUACAAUGGUCGGUACAGAGGGUAGCCAAGCCGCGAGGUGGAGCCAAUCUCACAAAACCGAUCGUAGUCCGGAUUGCACUCUGCAACUNGAGUGCAUGAAGUCGGAAUCGCUAGUAAUCGCAGGUCAGCAUACUGCGGUGAAUACGUUCCCGGGUNUUGUACAC